GGAAAUAAGCAGGUUCACUGCUUCUUGGCCCUGUAGUUGCAAGGAGCAGGGAGAGAAGCAGCUAUCUUCAGUUGUGAGGGGACUGGGCGGCGUUGGUGGUGAUUCAGUAGUGAAGGCUGUUCCUUUUCCACUGCUGCGAAAAAUUGGAGCGGUGAAAGAGACUACAAGGAGGCUUGCCUGCAGCAGAGAGUUAGUUCAAGUGAAGGCGUUCAAGGAGUGCAAGUUGCUGCAGUGUCAGAAUCAGAAUCAGAGAGAAUCAGAGCUGGAUCUGGAUAGAAGAACUGAGAAGAGCUGCUGGAAAGAGAGCUGAGAAAUCACUGGGAGAGUUGAGACACACUGGAGGACUGAAUCACUUCCAAAGCAGCGGCAGGAACAAUCUGGGAUUGAACCCCUAGAACUGGGAAGGAAAUGCAGGGCCUGAGGCUGAGCAAGUGAGAAGCCAGGCUUGCUACAGAGGCUGACUAGGGUUGAUUUCAAGAGGGCUCUGGGUAAGGACUCUGAGUUACAGCCCAAUAUUAGUGCAGGAUAGUUUGGACGUAUGGUUUGUUUGUUUGUUUUGUUUUGUUUGUUUGUUUGUUUAAUAAAUAUAUUUUUAUAGUG